GCCUCCAUAGUUAAAUGGAUAUAACACGCCCCUCCUAAGGGCGAAUUGGUGGUUCGAUUCCACCUGGGGGUACCC
rnacentral:tRNA from 1 species